rnacentral:rRNA from 1 species
AAUUUGAUUAACGGGAAAGAACCUUACCAAGUCUUGACAUCUUUUGCUAACCUAAGAGAUUAAGCGUUCCCUUCGGGGACGGAAUGACAGGUGGUGCAUGGUUGUCGUCAGCUCGUGUCGUGAGAUGUUGGGUUAAGUCCCGCAACGAGCGCAACCCUUGUUACUAGUUGCCAGCAUUAAGUUGGGCACUCUAGUGAGACUGCCGGUGACAAACCGGAGGAAGGUGGGGACGACGUCAGAUCAUCAUGCCCCUUAUGACCUGGGCUACACACGUGCUACAAUGGACGGUACAACGAGUCGCGAAACCGCGAGGUCAAGCUAAUCUCUUAAAGCCGUUCUCAGUUCGGAUUGUAGGCUGCAACUCGCCUACAUGAAGUUGGAAUCGCUAGUAAUCGUGGAUCAGC